rnacentral:rRNA from 1 species
GAUGAACGCUGGCGGCGUGCUUAACACAUGCAAGUCGAACGGAAAGGCUCCUGCUUGCAGGGGUACUCGAGUGGCGAACGGGUGAGUAACACGUGGGUGAUCUGCCCUGCACUUCGGGAUAAGCCUGGGAAACUGGGUCUAAUACCGGAUAGGACCACAUUUUGGAUGGUGUGGUGGAAAGUUUUUCGGUGUGGGAUGAGCUCGCGGCCUAUCAGCUUGUUGGUGGGGUAAUGGCCUACCAAGGCGUCGACGGGUAGCCGGCCUGAGAGGGUGUACGGCCACAUUGGGACUGAGAUACGGCCCAGACUCCUACGGGAGGCAGCAGUGGGGAAUAUUGCACAAUGGGCGCAAGCCUGAUGCAGCGACGCCGCGUGGGGGAUGACGGCCUCCGGGUUGUAAACUCCUUUCGCUAGGGACGAAGCGCAAGUGACGGUACCUGGAGAAGAAGCACCGGCUAACUACGUG